UAACAUAAAACAAAAUAGAAAAUAAUCUCCUAGUGUCUAUUCUGUAUAAUCCAGAGAAACAGUUUCUACAGAGCAAGUCUCGCUGGAACAAUGUAAAUGCCGUGUCUUGUUUAUUUGAUAGAAACUGGCAUUUUAAAAGUCAGAGUAGAGAUAAAAAUCACAGUUAAUUGUUUUCAUUCUUUAAACUGGUAGGGCUAACCCUGAUGGCUUUUAUAUUUACUGCUAAAACAUUUCUCAAAUAAAACUUACCUUUAUUAUAAAUAGUUUAAGGAACUGCCUGGAAGGGAGACUGGCUUGUCAAUUUAGAAAGUUAAUAAUUUUUGUGACAAUACUGUAGCUACAAAGUCGUUGCAAGUUUUCCAAAUCUCGGUGCUCACUGACCUUCCACUUGAACCUAACUGUAAUGUAAACAUUUUCUUGAGGUGGUUAGGGGCUGGACCGGCCAAUCUGGAGGGUAUUAGCAGUGUUCUCUUGGGAGGUUGGAACCCUGGGUAAUUCUCAGGAGCUCCUUUCCAAGCCAGAGUCUGUCUUCAAUAUCACAUAUUGCUUAAUUCUGCUGUGCUCUUGCUAAUAAUGCCUACCGUGCCUCUUGGAAAUCUCAUUAGUUAAAAACGUAAUUAGGUUGCCUUUGAAGUAGAGGGUGAGGGCAGUCUGUAUGUGGAAGCUUUCCUGCCCCUUCCGUGCCAGUUGCUAAAAUACAUAGAGUGGGGUUCAGCCUGCUGAGGCCUGGGCUUAUUGCCCUUGGGUCUCAAAAGUCUGACUUUUAGGAAUCUAUUACACAUCCAAAAUAUUUUUGUUCAAAGCAAAGCUAAGUACUUUAUCAACUCCUUUUGACCCGUCAGUUCCUUUAAACCUUCUGAGGUGUACUGAGCAGUGUUUUUCAAACUUCAGGUCCUGACCCAUUAAUAGUCAUUAAAUCAGUUUAGUGGGUUAAAACCAGCAUUUUAAAACGUUAAUAGAAUAUAGCAAUCAUAGUAAGGGCAGGCAUUGUCUCGAGGUGGUUUUGUCCCAUUCAGACAGACGUGUGUGUGUGUGUGUGUGUGUGUGUGUGUGUGUGUGUGUGUUUCCGUCUAAAUGUGAAGAAGGAAGACACUUAUUUGCUCUGGAUGACCCUCGGAGGCUGGAAAGUCUUACUAUAGAGGAUAUUUUACAGAAAGGAUUUAUAAUCUCAUGUUUAAAUGUUUACAUUUUAAUUCCUUGAAUUUUUAGCUAAUGCCCGAGUUCCUUAAUAUUUUAAAGGAAACUUAGAAGACAGAGGGUUAAAGAAACUACAUUUUCAAACUGAUUCUUCAUUUCAUAUUUGAACAUUGCACUACAACCAAAAGGCAAACUUAGCCAGACUUGUGCUCCCUCAUUCACAUUCUACUGGACAGCUGUUUUUUCCACAUAGAAAAAGAAAACAAUACCGAGUGGAAAUGGAACUGUUUGGUAGCAGUGCAGACAUUUUAUGUAAAAGAUUUACAUGCAUUGAGGGAAACCAUUGCUUCAUUUAAGAUGGUAGUGAAUGGGUGCAGGCUUGUGUUCAAAUCCUUUAAGUCUCUACUUGCUUUACUCUGUGUCCUUCCAAACAAUGACUUCGUCUCUCGCAGCAUUCAGCCUAAAUACUUUUUUCAAAAAUGCUUGCCCUUUACCACAUCAACGUCAGAUUUCUCAAACUUAUAAUGGAGUAGUUCGUUCUUUUUUUUUUUUAAGAUUUAUUUGUUUAUCAUAUGUAAGUACACUGUAGCUGUCUUCAGACACUCCAGAAGAGGGCGUCAGAUCUCAUUACGGAUGGUUGUGAGCCACCAUGUGGUUGCUGGGAUUUGAACUCAAGACCUUUGGAAGAGCAGUCAGUGCUCUUACCCGCUGAGCCAUCUCGCCAGCCUGGAGUAGUUCUUUCUAUUGAACAUUUUUUCUGCUCACUAAAUAAACAUUGAACUCUAUUGUUAAUUAUUUAAACUUUUAGACUAGAUUUGUAUUUGAGCACUGAUGCUCAAAUGUAUUGUAAUUUUUUUUAUAUAAUGUUAACCUUAAUUUCUCCAAACUCUUCUCCUUUGUGAAAUAGGUGAUGAUUAGUUAUAUUCCAGACAUCAAACUGAUACCUGGCUGUCUUUUCACAUCUCCAAGUUGCAAACCCGUGUGUUCUGAUUCAGACUGUGGGACGUGAUGCUUCAUGUAAGUGCGGUGGAGAUAAGAGUACAGCACACUGAGAAGAACAAAGACAUAGAGACCAGUCAGGGCUCAUCAGAGAGACCCGCUCCCCCAAAAGAAGUACCCAGUCACGCUCAAGUAGCACAUUCCUAAAGCAGAUAGCAGGCUCUUGGUCAUGGCUUAAUAGUGGCUUUUAGUGUUUUGAUUACCCGCUGUCAGUUUUACAUCCGGUAUAAAGUAUUGUAUCCUCAAGUUAUAAGUAAGCAUGCUCCUCUUCAGAAUAUUUAGAAGGCACUUAGGCUCAUUUUAUCCCAGUUAUCUCACUUUAAAGACACCAAAAGUAGACUGAGUGCCUUCCUGGACGACCCUGUGCCUCCAUACCCUGCAGUGUAUGCAUUUAAACUAUCGCAUGCACUGUUUCUCUUGAUGUAUGAAAAUCUGUGCAAUUAAUGUUUUCAUCGUGUAUUCAUUUUUAUCUUUGUACACGAACAAGCAAAAGUUGUCAAAGUGCAAGCGCAUGUGUUUACACAGUCAUGACCGCCAGAAGCUUGAACUCAAGGCAAGGGUGAUGCUCGCUCCUGGUGUGUAGUAUCUUUAAGAAAGUCAGAGUAAGAACAGCUGGCAAGUAGAAUUUCAACAUGCCUUGGUUUUUCUCAACUCAUGACAUAAAGGGUUUACUUCGCCCUUUAUUUACCACGUUGUUGCAGGUUCUGUGUGUAUCAUGAAAAUAGGCUUUCGGGCUGCACAUGGAACUUUGCCUGUCAUGUGCUAGAUAUAGUGUCAUACUUUCAAGGCAAUGCCGAUGUCUUUCUUCUCACAUCUUUAUGUUGAAAGUGGUUCAAAAUGAACUUAGGCAUUAGUUUUCCGACCUCAUUUUAUUUUUGAAGUCAGUGUUACUGUGUUGGCUCUAAAGCAAACAAAAGCAAAACCAUUUCUUCCCUCUUGCAGUUGCUUUGAUGUUCAUUCUGAAUUAGAGUGGCCGAUGCAUGAUGAUAAAUGUUCUGCUAAAUACAAAGCAUGCCUUAAGUACAAACAAAAUAUGAACUUUUUUCCCCCAAUUAUUUUCAUUCCCUGUACAAAUAUCACUGUAGCUGAUCAGCUGUUGUAUGGAAUAAAUGGAGAAAGAAUUAAAUUUUUCCACAUGAUUGACUUUUUAUACAAAAAGCAAGGCUGAUAUCCUGAAUAAGAAACUUUCCCAGCACUGACAUUUGGUGAGAAGUAAUAACAGAGCUGUCCCUUUUCACCUGAACAUAAAGAGCACUCUAAAGAAAAGGACGCUUCACCAGUGAAUCCCGUAGUCUACACACCGAAGUGCUAAGACAGUGAAACUGUGCACCUAACAGUGUGUAUGCUGUCCUUUCUUAACAGCAUCUUAGAGCAUUGAUUGAUGCUAAAAAAGAAGCACUUAGUAUCUUUUUAACCAGCAGGAGUUAAAACUCCCAUUAGCACAAAGCCACUGCAGAAACCCACCAUGCUCAGAUAGUGUGUUUCAAUUUUACAAGGUGCCUGGGUAGGCUAAAUUGUUUCUGUAAUGUAGCUAGUCCAACUCAGUCUCUGUGCUCCCCUCUCUUACAUGAACUGCAGUUCCCCAUGAGCUUUGCCUUCAGGUCUGUGAUUGGCACAUCAAACCAUGGCAGACCCAGAAGUCCAGUGCAUCGCCCUUUACACACCUUGACAUGGUGUGCCUGCCAGUUCCUUUCUCAACAUUAAAUUCAUGGUUUUGGACAAAAAUUAAGAACUCUCUGUUGUUUUGGGAGAGCAGCUCAUUGGUGGAAGGCCUGGUUGGCACUUGUGAGGUCCUAGGCUGUCCCCAGAACACUGUCCAAAAGAAAGAAGAGACAGAACUGUGCAGUAGAGAUCCAGCAACUGAUGGGAAUUCCUUGAUGAUCUCGCCUUUAAAAAACAGAAGGUUUUAAUUUGUGCAUUACAGAAAAAUUACACAAUAGAUUUUUUUGGUGGGGGGAGGAAACCUUUGAUUUUUCAAGCCUCAUUGUCUUUUCUGCCUUUGUGUGCUGCCUCAUGUGUAUCAUGGGUAGUUAGUGCACAUCUUCCUGUCUAUGCACCACUGUCCUCCCUCCAAGAGAAGCCAUUGCCUCCAGCUGCCACAUCUCACACACCCAGAUCUUUGCAGAGCUCUGUCCCUGUCAGAAAUUCUCUGUCAACCAAGAUUCUCCUUUAGGGGUGAGCAUGUCAGUUUCGUUUUCUGACACCUUCUCUCAUUUUAUCUUUAGGAUUUUAGGAACCGUGUGAAGACACUGAGACAUUAGUAAAGUGAGGCACUAUGAAAGUAGGGAAACCACUGCGCACCCUGAGUUCAGUAUGUAGAGAAGCUAAGUGACAGCGUGAUAGCAUUGAGUUCAGAUCCACAGAGCCUACAUGAAGCUAGACACAAUACACCUGGAGUCCCAGCACUCCACAGUGAGAUGGGAGGAAAAGAUAGGAAAAUUCCAGGAAACUUAUGCCACUUAGCCUGAUAUCCACAUUGGCAAAUGGCAAGACACCCUGUUUCAAAUAAGUUGGUGGGUGAAGACCAAUAAUUGAGGUUAUCUUCUGACCUCCACAUAUGGCUCCUGCUUACAUGAGACACUAACACAAAGGAACACAUCUGGGAAGGAGGCAGCCUGUCAGAGGCAGAGACUAACUAAACCAAACCAAACUAAACUAAGCUAAGCUAAACAGGCCCUUACCCUAAAACUGGCAGGAAACUUUCCAGGUACCAAUACUUUUUGUGUCUCAAGGUUAACCAAAUUUGGUAUGUUAUAUAUUUGACCAAGAGAAUUUAAAAAUAAUUACUUAUAUAUAUUUUGAAUCUUAUAUAAAAUUCUUACCAUCCCAAUGAGGAAAGAGUUAUUAGGCAGCUUGAAUUAUAAAGAAAAUCACAGAGUGCUUGUGUUGUCGCAGUUUAAAAAAAAAAAAACGAUUUUAGGGUUUAGUAGGCUUGCCUUACAAGCAAUAUUUGAGUUGCAUCCCCAGAACCCACAUU
rnacentral:lncRNA from 1 species